rnacentral:lncRNA from 1 species
AAGAAACAACAACUCUUCUGCGAUCAUUAAGAGAGAUGAACACCGGGCAAUCCUUUGCCCCCAAGAUUGGGGAGACAGGCGGAUACAGGGAGUAAUGGCUAACUGGAGCAGAGACUCACAGGGGCAAACCUCAGUGGGAACCAGAACUGAGGUUGUCAACUGUCACUUCUUGCUGAUGUCAUUGCAACUGUAUUUAGUAACAAUCCACCCACUUGCAUUUUCAUUUGGUGUGCAGUGAAACAAACCAAACAAAGGAUAAUGCCCCCUGGUACAUGGUUGUAUAUUCCAGUUGUGAGUGCCUCUGGUUGUGCUAUAUGGGAUGCCACCUCAACAUGACCUGAUGAACCGUGCCAUGUCCGUGCCCAGGAUCUGAACUAGCGAAACCCUGGGCCACUGAAGAGGAG